rnacentral:lncRNA from 1 species
GUUGGCUAGGAGCUAGAAACAGAACUACGUUGGCUAGGAGCUAGAAACAGAACUACGUUGACUAGGAGUUAGAAACAGAACUACAUUGGCUAGGAGCUAGAAACAGACCUAUGUUGGCUAGGAGCUAGAAACAGAACUAUGUUGGCCUGGAGCUAGAAACAGAACUAUGUUGGCCAGGAGCAAGAAACAAAAUUAUGUUGGCCAGGAGCUAGAAACAGAACUAUGUUGGCCAGGAGCUAGAAACAGAACUAUGUUGUCUAGUUGGCCAGGAGCUAGAAACAGAACUAGGAUAGCUAGGAGCUAGAAACAGAACUAAGUUGGCCAGUAGCUAGAAACAGAACUAGGUUGGCCAGUAGCUAGAAACAGAACUAGGUUGGCUAGGGGCUAGAAACAGAAUUAGGUUGGCUAGGGGCUAGAAACAGAACUAGGUUGGCUAGUUGGUCAGGAGCUAGAAACAGAACUAGGUUGGCUAGUUGGCCAGGAGCUACAAACAGAACUAGGUUGGCUAGGAGCUAGAAAAAGAGCUAUGUUGGCCAGUAGCUAGAAACAACUCUGUUAGCUAGGGGCAAGAACCAGAACUAUGUUGGCCAGGAGCAAGAAACAGAACUAUGUUGGCUAGGAGCUAGAAACAGAACUAGGUUGGCCAGGAGCGAUAAACAGAACUAGGUUGGCCAGGAGCUAGAAACAGAACUAGGUUGGCCAGGAGCGAUAAACAGAACUAGGUUGGCCAGGAGCUAGAAACAGAACUAGGUUGGCUAGUUGUCCAGGAGCUAUAAACAGAACUAGGUUGGCUAGUUGGCCAGGAGCUAGAAACAGAACUAGGUUGGCCAGGAGCUAGAAACAGAACUAGGUUGGCCAGGAGCUCGAAACAGAACUAGGUUUGCCAGUAGCUAGAAACAGCACUAGGUUGGCCAGGAGCUAGAAAGAGAACUAGGUUGGCUAGUUGGCUAGGAGCUAGAAACAGAACUAGGUUGGCCAGGAGCUAGAAACAGAACUAGGUUGGCUAGUUGUCCAGGAGCUAGAAACAGAACUAGGUUGGCUAGUUGGCUAGGAGCUAGAAAUAGA